UACGUAGGGGGCUAGCGUUGUCCGGAAUCAUCGGGCGUAAAGAGCGCGUAGGCGGCCAGAUAAGUCCGGUGUGAAAGUCAAAGGCUCAACCUUUGAAUGCCGCUGGAAACUGUCUGGCUAGAGUCCGGGAGGGGCGAGUGGAAUUCCUGGUGUAGCGGUGAAAUGCGCAGAUAUCAGGAAGAACACCAAUGGCGAAGGCAGCUCUCUGGGACGGUACUGACGCUGAGACGCGAAAGCGUGGGGAGCGAACAGG
rnacentral:rRNA from 1 species